rfam:Rattus norvegicus chromosome 6, whole genome shotgun sequence.
GGGGAUUUAGCUUAGUGGUAGAGCACUUGCCUAGGAAGCGCAAGGCCCUGGGUUCGGUCCCCAGCUCCA